UCAGUCCUGCCCGUCAACGUUGUCCUGUUUUUGAUAAAUGUGAUCCAGGGGUUCCAAACCUCAGUGUGUUUCAAGUGGUUUCCUAGUUUAGACUGUGCUAUAGCUUCCAUUAGUCUCGUAUCUUCCGCCCUCUGUAUCCAUUCCCUGACUGAUGGGGGUUUGGGUUGUUUCCAGUUUUUGGGUAUUAACUGGGAUGCUGCUGUAGUCAGGUGGAUGAAGAGAGUUGCAUCUUUUUUCAGGAAGCCAUGUGGGGGAAUGUGGAAUAGAUAGUUAGCUGGGGCUAAUGCGAACGUGGUGUGGAAUAUGAUUUGAAUGAGCGUGUGGA